CUUACUAAAAAGUACAGCAUUUUACAUCAAUGAAUAAAUUAAAAUUACAAUGCAAUUUUCUGAAGAAAAGAAAUACUUAAAGACUCAA